UUGCUUGUCACAAUACCUGUUUCUCAUCCCUUUAAGAACAGGAUAACAUCUGUAACAUGAUAUAUUUAGAAAGAAAUUGUUAGGAUGCCAACCUUGGAACAAAGGUUAUGUAGAAGUUGUGUGUAUCCUUAAAA